GUCGGUGUCGUAUAGUGGUAAGUUUAUCACGUUGUGGCCGUGAGAAUCAGGGCUCAAUUCCCUGUACCAACA